rnacentral:rRNA from 1 species
CCCUUAGAUGUUCUGGGCCGCACGCGUGCUACACUGAUGCAUUCAACGAGUCUAAAACCUGGUCUGAUAGGGCUGGGUAAUCUUUUGAAAGUGCAUCGUGAUUGGGAUAGAUGAUUGCAAUUCUUCAUCUUCAACGAGGAAUGCCUAGUAAACGCAAGUCAUCAUCUUGCAUUGAUUACGUCCCUGCCCUUUGUACACACCGCCCGUCGCUCCUACCGAUUGAAUGAUCCGAUGAAUACCAUGGAUUGAGAGUACGAAUAGGUUCGCUUAUUUCUGCUGCUCGAGAAGUGGAGUAAAUCUUAUCAUUUAGAGGAAGGAGAAGUCGUAACA